rnacentral:misc_RNA from 1 species
GAUGAAGAACGCAGCGAAAUGCGAUACUUGGUGUGAAUUGCAGAAUCCCGUGAACCAUCGAGUCUUUGAACGCAAGUUGCGCCCGAAGCCAUUAGGCCGAGGGCACGCCUGCCUGGGCGUCACACGUCGUUGCCCCCCCAUCUACUCCUUCGGGAUUGCGGGGGGCGGAUGAUGGCCUCCCGUGCGCCUCGCCGCGCGGUUGGCAUAAAUGCCAAGUCCUCGGCGACGCACGCCACGACAAUCGGUGGUUGCGAAACCGCGGUUGCCCGUCGUGUGCGGUCGUCGCGCAUCGAGGGCUCGAAAAAAUUGCCGGGUUCCGGCUCGGCUUUCAACGCGACCCCAGGUCAGGCGGGGUUACCCGCUGAAUUUAAGCAUAUCAAUAAGCGGAGGA